UUUAAGAAGUGUAAUUUGUGAAAAACUUUAUGUUGUAGACAACUUUUGUACGUUGUGAAAGCAGUCAAGAUAUAAAGCAUGAGAUUGAAAAAAAUGAGAACGGAAAAUCUUUUUAAUAUAAAUUAGUAACACAUUUAAAAAUAUUUAAAUUGGGUAAUAAAAAUAAGUGUCAAAAAAUGUAAAAAAAAAAGGAAAAGAAAAAACAAAUUAUCAACUUAAUAAAAUGUCAUAGAAAAAUCACAUUUAUGAUGAAAACCCAGUGUAAAUUUACAUACAAGUCGAUCUAAUAUCGAUCGACAAACAGGUCUUAAAGCUUCCUGAAUUACGAUAUCUACAGUUGGAGUGGUAAUAAAAAUAAAACAACGAUAUUUUAUUUAUUGAACGAGCUAAAAGAACUUAAAAUAGAGAGAAAAAAAAGAAAAAAAAUCAAUCAGUGGUAAAUAAGACUUAAGUGGUAAAGAAAGAGCUAAAGUGUUUCACUUUUUUGUUAAUAAAGUAAAAAAACAUUUUUUGUUAAGAGAAACUAAACUAAUGGAUCUUCAAGCCAAAAUUCUUAAACUAGGUAUGAGUUCACUGAUGCGUCCACCAAUGCGGUCUUCAGGCGAUUCAAAAGUAGAACAGAACAGAAUGAAACAGAAUAAUCAGAAGAAAAAACCAGCUAGUUCUAGCAGUUCAACACUGACAAGAUCAGUUUCGAAAAAAAUCGAUGCAAUGAAUCCUGCGAAAUUAGCAAGAAGUGCAUACGGAAGCAUAAAAAACAUGAUUUAAAACAAAAAUUUUAAAAGAAGUAUUUAAUAUAAAUAAUGUAACGUAAUAAUAAGUUGAUUGUUGUGAAACAAUUUGAUUGUUGGUAUCUUUAAUUUUUUUUAAUUUCUAUUCAAUUUUUUUUUAAAGUGUCGAAACAUAAUAUGAAAUUAUUUGAGAGCUGAUGUACUUGUAUUAUUUUCAAUAGAUUAAAGUAACGAUAAAUCAAUAGUAUGUAUAAAGUAAUGGAGAUAAAUCAAUAGUAUGUAUAAAGUAAUGGAGAUAAAUCAAUAGUAUGUAUAAAGUAAUGGAGAAAAAUAAUUUUUACUAUGAUUUA